rnacentral:rRNA from 1 species
AUUGAACGCUGGCGGCAUGCUUUACACAUGCAAGUCGAACGGUAACAGGCCGCAAGGUGCUGACGAGUGGCGAACGGGUGCGUAAUGCAUCGGAACGUGCCCAGUCGUGGGGGAUAACUACUCGAAAGAGUAGCUAAUACCGCAUACGAUCUAUGGAUGAAAGCGGGGGACCGUAAGGCCUCGCGCGAUUGGAGCGGCCGAUGUCAGAUUAGGUAGUUGGUGGGGUAAAGGCUCACCAAGCCAACGAUCUGUAGCUGGUCUGAGAGGACGACCAGCCACACUGGGACUGAGACACGGCCCAGACUCCUACGGGAGGCAGCAGUGGGGAAUUUUGGACAAUGGGCGCAAGCCUGAUCCAGCAAUGCCGCGUGCAGGAAGAAGGCCUUCGGGUUGUAAACUGCGUUUGUACGGAACGAAACGGCUCUGGUUAAUACCCGGGGCUAAUGACGGUACCGUAAGAAUAAGCACCGGCUAACUACGUG